GCUGGGCGUGGUGGCGGGUGCCUGUAAUCCCAGUUACUCGGGAGGCUGAGGCAGGAGAAUCGCUUGAACCCAGGAGGCAGAGGUUGCAGUGAGCCAAGAUCAUGCCACUGCACUCCAGCCUGGGUGACAGAGCGAAAUUCUGUCCCAA
ensembl:misc_RNA Metazoa_SRP Metazoan signal recognition particle RNA